CGCGGAGUGGAGCAGCUGGUAGCUUGUCGGGCUCAUAACCCGAAGGUCGCGUGGUUCGAAUCCCGCCUCCGCAACCA
rnacentral:tRNA from 2 species